ACAUGCCUACAACAUAGCGUUAAUGCAUUGGAUCCCAUAAGAACUCCGCAGUUAAGCACACUCAGGCUAGAGUAGUACUUGGAUGGGUGACCUCCCAGGAAGUCCUAAUGUUUUACAUGCC
rnacentral:rRNA from 1 species